rnacentral:ncRNA from 1 species
AGACAGGUGGUGCAUGGUUGUCGUCAGCUCGUGUCGUGAGAUGUUGGGUUAAGUCCCGCAACGAGCGCAACCCCUGUCCUUAGUAGCCAGCAGUAAGAUGGGCACUCUAGGGAGACAGCCGGGGAUAACCCGGAGGAAGGCGGGGACGACGUCAAAUCAUCAUGCCCCUUAUGAUUUGGGCUACACACGUGCUACAAUGGCGUAAACAAAGGGAAGCGAGCCUGCGAGGGGGAGCGAAUCCCAAAAAUAACGUCCCAGUUCGGACUGCAGUCUGCAACUCGACUGCACGAAGCUGGAAUCGCUAGUAAUCGCGGAUCAGAAUGCCGCGGUGAAUACGUUCCCGGGUCUUGUACACACCGCCCGUCACACCAUGGGAGUCAGUAACGCCCGAAGUCAGUGACCCAACCGAAAGGAAGGAGCUGCCGAAGGCGGGACGGAUGACUGGGGUGAAGUCGUAACAAGGUAGCCGUAUCGGAAGGUGCGGCUGGAUCACCUCCUUU